rnacentral:rRNA from 1 species
AACGAACGCUGGCGGCAUGCCUAACACAUGCAAGUCGAACGAGACCUUCGGGCCUAGUGGCGCACGGGUGCGUAACGCGUGGGAACCUGCCCUUAGGUUCGGAAUAACUCCCCGAAAGGGGUGCUAAUACCGGAUAAUGUCUUCGGACCAAAGAUUUUUCGCCUUUGGAUGGGCCCGCGUUGGAUUAGCCAGUUGGUAGGGUAAAAGCCUACCAAGGCGACGAUCCAUAGCUGGUCUGAGAGGAUGAUCAGCCACACUGGGACUGAGACACGGCCCAGACUCCUACGGGAGGCAGCAGUGGGGAAUAUUGGACACUGGGGGAAAGCCUGAUCCAGCAAUGCCGCGUGAGUGAUGAAGGCGUUAGGGUUGUAAAGCUCUUUUACCCGGGAUGAUAAUGACGGUACCGGGAGAAUAAGCUCCGGCUAACUCCGUG